rnacentral:rRNA from 1 species
UACGGGGGGAGCAAGCGUUGUUCGGAUUUACUGGGCGUAAAGGGCGCGUAGGCGGCCUCCGCAAGUCAGUUGUGAAAUCUCCGAGCUUAACUCGGAAAGGUCAACUGAUACUGCUCGGCUAGAGUGCGGAAGGGGCAACUGGAAUUCUUGGUGUAGCGGUGAAAUGCGCAGAUAUCAAGAGGAACACCUGCGGCGAAGGCGGGUUGCUGGGCCGACACUGACGCUGAUGCGCGAAAGCUAGGGGAGCGAACGGG